rnacentral:lncRNA from 1 species
AAACAAAGGCAAUGACUUUUACACCCGUUUCCAGCUUCUGAACUUCAUGACUGUCCAAAGUUAUCGGUCCUCAAGGCUGAGUUUGGGCUGUUGUCUUCCUCAGGGAGAACGUCAGCCCUCGUCUUCAUCUUGGACAUCGUCUCCUGGCUUCCAGCGCAACCUCCCAGCCUCCGGCACAGACUUCCUAGUUUCCGCUGGCCCUUGGGCCUUGUGGUACAGAUCCUUGAGAGAGAUUUUUGCAGGACCCUGCCGUGAGCUCUGAGCCCUUGACUGAAUUCUGUGCAUUUCCGGCGAGGAGAAAGAUGUCAGCACAGUUCUCCAUCUGACUCUAUUCACAGGCAAAAGGGAAGUACAGUCAAUUGCAAAAUGUCCCACAAGAAUUCCUCUCAUUGCUCUGCAUAUGUAUUUGCAGUGUGACUUUCCCCCUCUUCCCAUCAAGGUUAAAUCCACUGCCUGAAAAAAAAUUACCACUACCACUUGACUCAUAAUUUAGGUAUGAAUAUCAUUCACAUUGGCAGAAACAUUCAGAUAAUUAUUUUUAAUUUCAUUAUUAAUGACCUCCAAAAGCUUUC